CCUACGGGGGGCAGCAGUGGGGAAUAUUGGACAAUGGGGGCAACCCUGAUCCAGCCAUGCCGCGUGUGUGAAGAAGGCCCUCGGGUUGUAAAGCACUUUCAGUGAGGAAGAACGCCUGGUGGUUAAUACCCAUCAGGAAAGACAUCACUCACAGAAGAAGCACCGGCUAACUCCGUGCCAGCAGCCGCGGUAAUACGGAGGGUGCGAGCGUUAAUCGGAAUUACUGGGCGUAAAGCGCGCGUAGGUGGCUUGAUAAGCCGGUUGUGAAAGCCCCGGGCUCAACCUGGGAACGGCAUCCGGAACUGUCAAGCUAGAGUGCAGGAGAGGAAGGUAGAAUUCCCGGGGUAGCGGUGAAAUGCGUAGAGAUCGGGAGGAAUACCAGUGGCGAAGGCGGCCUUCUGGACUGACACUGACACUGAGGUGCGAAAGCGUGGGUAGCAAACAGGAUUAGAUACCCCUGUAGUC
rnacentral:rRNA from 1 species